rnacentral:misc_RNA from 1 species
AACGCACGAGACCUGCGGACCUGCGGAGGGAUCAUUACCGAGUGUGGCCCUUUUUUAAUGGGGGUGCCUCCCGUCCUUUGCAGGCCCUUAGGGGCUUUUUGACUUUGCUUCGGCGGGGCUGCCCCGCCGGAACACCCUCAAGAAAAUCUCAGAAAAAAAACCGUGCAGUCCGAGGGCUUGCGAAUAAACAAAAACUUUCAACAAUGGAUCUCU